CAGAUGCUCAUCUUGCUGGCUGUGUGUCUCCAGAAUCUUCUGGAGAGGAAAGAAGAAACCAUGUCUAGACAAGGUGCUGGAAAGACCCAGGGAAGACACAGGUGAGCUAAGAAAGCAGUAGAAACUGGGUAAUUAAAAGUCAACAUAAUGGCUGGAAACUUGUUCAAGGAGAUAUAAAAAGAAAGAAAAACCAAAAGAGAGACUGUAUGGAUGAACUUUGUCUAUUUACAAUUUUGUCUAAGGCCAAAUCUGCAGUCUGGUCCCACCGCAUGUUAUCUAAGUUGUUCAUAUACCAAUACUAAGAGCUACUGAAAUUCUUCCAAAAAAUCAAAAUCAUUUCCCCUUUGAUUUGCUAGUUUUCCCUCUUGGUAAAUAAAGAUUCAUUUUUUAGUAAUAA
rnacentral:lncRNA from 1 species